ACUCUAAACUGCCAGAACUUCAGUUUUGGCUUAUUUGAGUGCACUGAGUCUAUUUUUGCAUCCAUAUCGUGCCAAAACAACUCUGAAUUAUCCCAACACUCUACAGAUGUGUCGACCAGUUGCUGAUACUGUAGCCAUUCCGACAGCUAAACCCCAGCGACACUACAUCAAUUUUUAUUUCUAAUUGAAUUAAAGAAUAAUUAAAUAUUCAUAAUAUCUUAUGAGAUAAGAUUUUGACUAGAAUUGAUCUAGAUAAGUAUGAAUAUUUAAUUGUAAAAUUUAAUUGGAGAGAGUAAAUCUUAUUCGGAGUAAUUUAGUUGCAUAGUAACAUGAGAAUAAUCCGCCGGUAAUAGUUUUAUUUAUUGGUUUUUGAUUUUCAUAUGCGAU
rnacentral:lncRNA from 1 species